CAAUAGCGUAUAUUAAAGUUGUUGCGGUUAAAAGCUCGUAGUUGGAUUUCUGCCGAAGGUGGACGGUCUGCCUUAUGGGCAUGUAUCUGUCAAGCUUUGGCAUCCAUAUCAGAGGCGUUACUGCACUUCAUUGCGUGGUACGUAACUGAUAUCAUUUACUUUGAGGAAAUUAGAGUGUUCACAGCAAGCAAACGCUUUGAAUAUGUUAGCAUGGAAUAAUAAUAUAGGACCUUGGAUCUAUUUUGUUGGUUUCUAGAACUAAGGUAAUGAUUAAUAGGGACAGUUGGGGCAGUUCGUAUAGCUAGUCAGAGGUGGAAUUCUUGGAAUUUGCCUUGAUCCGUACGAACUAACUGCGAAAGCAAUUGCCAAUGGACUGUUUUCUAUUGAUCAAGAACGAAAGUAUGGGGAUCGAAGAUGAUCAGAUACC
rnacentral:rRNA from 1 species